UACGUAGGGUGCAAGCGUUGUCCGGAAUUAUUGGGCGUAAAGAGCUCGUAGGCGGUCUGUCGCGUCGGCUGUGAAAACUCGGGGCUCAACCCCGAGCCUGCAGUCGAUACGGGCAGACUAGAGUGCUGUAGGGGAGACUGGAAUUCCUGGUGUAGCGGUGAAAUGCGCAGAUAUCAGGAGGAACACCGGUGGCGAAGGCGGGUCUCUGGGCAGUAACUGACGCUGGAGGAGCGAAAGCGUGGGGAGCGAACAGG
rnacentral:rRNA from 1 species